AGAACGAACGCUGGCGGCAUGCCUAACACAUGCAAGUCGAACGAGACCUUCGGGUCUAGUGGCGCACGGGUGCGUAACGCGUGGGAAUCUGCCCUUGGGUUCGGAAUAACAGCGAGAAAUUGCUGCUAAUACCGGAUGAUGACGUAAGUCCAAAGAUUUAUCGCCCAAGGAUGAGCCCGCGUAGGAUUAGCUUGUUGGUGAGGUAAGAGCUCACCAAGGCGACGAUCCUUAGCUGGUCUGAGAGGAUGAUCAGCCACACUGGGACUGAGACACGGCCCAGACUCCUACGGGAGGCAGCAGUGGGGAAUAUUGGACAAUGGGCAAGCCUGAUCCA
rnacentral:rRNA from 1 species